UACGUAGGGGGCAAGCGUUGUCCGGAAUCAUUGGGCGUAAAGAGCGUGUAGGCGGCCUGGUAAGUCCGCUGUGAAAGUCCAGGGCUCAACCCUGGAAUGCCGGUGGAAACUGUCAGGCUCGAGUCCGGAAGAGGCGAGUGGAAUUCCUGGUGUAGCGGUGAAAUGCGCAGAUAUCAGGAGGAACACCAAUGGCGAAGGCAGCUCGCUGGGACGGUACUGACGCUCAUGCACGAAAGCGUGGGGAGCAAACAGG
rnacentral:rRNA from 1 species